rnacentral:tRNA from 2 species
UGCGUGGUGGAGCAGCGGUCAGCUCGUCGGGCUCAUAUCCCGAAGGUCGGUGGUUCGAAUCCACCCCUCGCAACCA